rnacentral:rRNA from 1 species
AUUGAACGCUGGCGGCAGGCCUAACACAUGCAAGUCGAACGGUAACAGAAAGCAGCUUGCUGCUUUGCUGACGAGUGGCGGACGGGUGAGUAAUGUCUGGGAAACUGCCUGAUGGAGGGGGAUAACUACUGGAAACGGUAGCUAAUACCGCAUAACGUCGCAAGACCAAAGAGGGGGACCUUCGGGCCUCUUGCCAUCGGAUGUGCCCAGAUGGGAUUAGCUAGUAGGUGGGGUAACGGCUCACCUAGGCGACGAUCCCUAGCUGGUCUGAGAGGAUGACCAGCCACACUGGAACUGAGACACGGUCCAGACUCCUACGGGAGGCAGCAGUGGGGAAUAUUGCACAAUGGGCGCAAGACUGAUGCAGCCAUGCCGAGUGUAUGAAGAAGGCCUUCGGGUUGUAAAGUACUUUCAGCGGGGAGGAAGGGAGUAAAGUUAAUACCUUUGCUCAUUGACGUUACCCGCAGAAGAAGCACCGGCUAACUCCGUG